rnacentral:rRNA from 1 species
CACGUAGGGGGCGAGCGUUGUCCGGAUUUAUUGGGCGUAAAGAGCUCGUAGGCGGCUCGGUAAGUCAGGUGUGAAAACUCUAGGCUCAACCUAGAGACGCCACCUGAUACUGCUGUGGCUAGAGUCCGGUAGGGGAGCAUGGAAUUCCUGGUGUAGCGGUGAAAUGCGCAGAUAUCAGGAGGAACACCAGUGGCGAAGGCGGUGCUCUGGGCCGGAACUGACGCUGAAGAGCGAAAGCGUGGGGAGCAAACAGG